UGUCCGCAGCAGCCCGGGGCCAAGAGUGUGCGUCAUCGACGAGGUGGGGAAGAUGGAGCUCUUCAGCCAGCCCUUCGUGCAGGCUGUUCGGCAGACCCUGGCCGCCCCGGGGACCGUGGUCCUGGGCACCAUCCCGGUCCCCAAAGGGAAACCGCUGGCCUUCGUGGAGGAAAUCCGGAGCCGGGCGGACGUGCAGGUGUUCAGUGUCACCAAGGAGAACAGGAACCACCUCUUGCCGGAUAUUGUGAGGUGCGUGCAGAGCGGCGGGAAGUGAGUGAUGGGCUCGCCCGCCCGUCCAGCAGCCCGGCCCGAGGGCGCCGGGCCCCCCGGCUCUGAACCGUGUGGGUUUCCGCAGGGAAAGCCUGCAGCUGUUUCCCAUAAAGGGUUCAGAGGGCGAGUCGGCCUGCACGCUGGCCCGCCACAGGACUGGUCAUGGCCGUGCGUAUCCGCGGCUGUUUAUUUCCUCUGCGGUUGUGCGUCUGAUUGGGGUAAAUUCUGAGAUGAGGAAGGUUCCGGGAACCAGAUGGGAUCCGCCCCAGUGAAGCUGAUGAAUGUGUGUGGGGGAAGGGGGGCUACUGCCUCAUCUGUUCUGCACUUCGCGGACGUGAAGCCCUCCCAGGUGCAGCCUCCCAGUGCGUCCGCAUCUCGUGCAGCCUGAAGCGUGAAGUUACUUGAUCUUUAAAAGGAUUAUUUUGAAAGAAGAGCCCUUCGGGCCCUCCCCCCACCAUCUUUUACUGUUUCCUUGUUUGCUUAUUACUUUAUAAAAUAAAAGGAGCGUGAUGGUUGCAGA